rnacentral:lncRNA from 1 species
AAAUAGAAAAGUGCAUUGUAAAUGCACUAUUCAAAUGUAGUAUUCCAAAUUAGCCCGAUUAUGAAGUUUGAGGAGUGGAAUGGGUAAUGGGAGCUAACCGACAUCUUUUAAAGAGUUGAAGUGAGGUUUUGGUAAGUUAAAAGAGUAAUCAAGAAGUCGGAAGAGAGAAAGUGCACUGGAAUUUCAAAAUGCAGGAUUCUGCAUAGAGUACCGGUACCAACUUGGUUCAGUACCGGUACCAGUACAAGCAGCUGCGAGGUAGCAAGGCUAGUUUGGUCAUUUUCUUUUCCCAGCUUGUUCUUAUCUCUUCUAGCUCGCCCCCAGCUGAUGUUUAUCCAUGCUUAAGUCCUGAGAACCAGGUUUGAACCUUUCUCUUUCUCUCUAGGGUUUUAUGGUAUUUUGAGCAAGAACUCAAGAUUCGAGCUUAAUUCAUUCUCCUCUUUGGUGCCUAGCUGGUUGGAAGGCUUUGGGGGCUAUGUUUUGUUGUUGAAGAGAAGGAUUUUGGAGAUAUUUCGUGGUCCUAUCUCAGCAGGAAGUUGAGCUAAAGCUUGGUGAGGCCAGUGAUUCAACUUAUCUCUAGUUGAUGUUAUAGUAGUGAAGUUGAUAUUGACUUGGGUUUUUUGUUGCGAGCUAGUUUAAGGGUUGGAAUCAGCAGCGGAAAAAGAGACGUUUUGCUGUACUCUAACUCAGUUGGAUCUGGGUUAUUGAUUGGACAAGGUAAAGUACUUACUUCCUUGUUUGGAUAUGGUAGUAAGUAUAUUAAUGUAGUUUUGAUGCUAGUUCCCAGCAGAGUCGCAGCAGGGAACGUGAACCCUGCGGCUAGGUUUUGGUGACUGUUGGAGCAGAAUUUGGAGAUGACUCUUCGACCCUAAGCUAAGGAAAAACUGGGUUGAAGUUGGAGAAGGUGAUUAACUCACCACUUGCUUUAUAUUGAUGCUAUAAUAAGUGUAUUAAUGAAAGGAGUGAUGCAGUUUUUCAUGGAUGUUCGCAGCAGGUUUGAGAAUCACCUUGAGCUGAGUUUAGAGACUCUUGCAAGCUGAUACUAGUGUGCUUCACCCUGAUUUGAAGUGGAGUGCUUAUUGGAAGGCUAAACUAGGUAUAAUUCUAUCUAGGUUAGAUGCCUAUGUGAGAUUGUUUAGUAAAGGUUGAAGUCAAGCUUUUAAUUUGAUUAGUACGGUUGUUAUGGUGUAGGUUUACAGCAGAAUUGCAGUAGGAUAUAGAUCCUUUCUAGCUGAACAUUGGGAGCUUUCGAAGACUACUUUCGGUGUACCAAUCUGAACCGAAGUGAGGAAGUAAGCUUUGCUACUUUACUAGGUCCUAGCCUAUAUUAUGGAAUUUGGGAGACUCACAUGUAGAGAUUGAAAUUGAACUCCUAGCUGAUUUUAGAAUCAUUGCUAGGUGGCUUAGAAGCUUCGGAUUACCUUCGGUUAUGGAAUCGACGAGAGUCGACAGCAAUUAGGUGGGUUUGACCUUCCCGAAAUGGGAGAAUUCCCUCUAUGUCUUCUUGACAUUAUAAAAAUGGAAUGGUGGCAUAUUCAAUGAAUAUAUGUAUAUUGAAAUGAAUUGGGCCUGUGAAAAUCUACAUAGCAUAUCGGAUCAAAGAGAACCUCUAGGUAGUAGGGGUGACUUGUGAAAUUGUUUCGCAUCUAGAGAUUACUUGCCAGUCUAGCAUGCAUUACAUGACAUUAAUGUACUUGUGUGGACAAGUUAAAGAAGGACAUCGUUUACUAAUGUAUUGAGAUAAAGCCAGGGAAAUGGUACUUAGUUAAAGGUGUAACUAAGUAAACGGUGUAUAAUGAUUUUAACUUUCAAGUAAAUCAUGCAAUUCCAUGUGGUAAACCUGAUGCCUGAACUUCGAAUAUACCAUGCAAAAUGACUUGAAUAAAGAGCAUGUGAAAAGUAUUUCAUAGAGUAUUAUGCCUAUUUAUGACAAACAGUGGUUUCCACCUUCACAUGAUAGAACUUGCUUAACUGCAUGUUAUUGUGCUUGAUCUAGUUAAGUAACUAGAAUUUGGCAUUAUGGUAUAACUUGAAUAUUAUUCUAUUGAAUGUAGUCUAGUAAAUAACUAGAGUUGGACAUGAUAGCAUAUCUGUAUAAUUCAGUAGAGUAAUUGCAUAUUACCUGUUUACUCGAAGUAGUAGAGGAUUAUAUGGAACUCUAGGAUAUGUGCCACGAGUCAUUAGACAUGCCCUUAGAAAUCACUUUCCUUGUGUAUAGGGAGUAGUGAGAGGACUCUAAGUGAGUAUGUGUGGGUAUAGCCCAUUAUGAUGUUAUGUUUAUAAUUGUUCAAGUUAUACUAGCUAUUGGUCAAAGUAUGUCAACAAGUAGUUGAGAGUGACUUAUGAUUUGGGUACUACAGUGUCGACCUUGCGUCGAGUUGAGAUUCCACGUUAGAGACAUGAUGAACUUAUGAACCCUAUGCUAUGGAUUAUGCUUGCAUGCCAAUGUCCUCGUUCGCACAUGCUUGUGGGGGUCGCGCCGCCCAAGCCAGCGCUCCGGAGUGGCUUAGCGACAGAUUGCUCGCUUAUGUACGAAUUUGAGCGUCGAAGUGGAUUGCUGUGGGUAGUUGACUUCCACAGGGCCAUUAGGCACGGUGCGGCCGAGACUUUACCAUGUGUAAGUCUCUUGUAAAAUUGGGUUAUUGUGAGUUACCUUAACCUUAGAUGGACAUAGUAGUAAGGAUACUUUAUGUUAUUGGUUAAGUAUAUCUAGUAAUAAACAUACUAAAGGGUUGAUAUCUCUGUUGAUUAGUAGUAUUAUGACAGUAUUUAAAUAUAUACACUCUUUUUAGUUGAGGAAAUAGCUACAUGAUGUCAUUGGCUAGUAGACAUGAUGAUAUUCUGCAUAUAGCAUGACAUAUUAGUGAAUUAAAUUGAUACCAGCAUGACUAAUAGAACUCAUUUGUAUGAACUAGUAUGUAAGACAUGUUAUAAGACAUAACUUGUGGAGGCAUAGUAUAAUUAAAGUAUUUCUUUUAUUGUUACAGUUACUUUGCUUACUCAUUGCUAUAUACUUAUGCCUUAGUUGACCUAGUGGUGUACUUCGCCACUCUCGGCGGGUUACCCACUGGGAACUAUUGUUUAAUAGUUCUCACACCCUCUUUGUUGUUGUUUUUACAGAGUCUUCCACGGCGGGAAAGGCUAGGGAUUUCUGGCGAGGGGUCAAUGUUUAAUAGAGCCUUCUUGAUGUUAAAUAGAUGAACCUCUACUGAUUUAUUUUGAUUUAGCUUAGUGUUGUAUUCUAGAUUUAUGUAGAAUGUACUUGUUUAAGUUGUAAUAAGGUUUUGUGUUGUAUAAGUUUACUAUACUUUUUAAGUUGUGCUCUGACUACCUGGUUAGAAUCGAAUGUUUUUACUAUGUGGAUUGUAGACUCCUGGUGUAUACUAGAGGUUGUAGUUUACACGGUGGGUCUGUGCACGUGACUGGUGAGCUUCUGCUAAAGUCCACGGCGUGACAGAUUAUAGUGGUAUCAGAGCCUAGGGUUGAGUCUUAGUAGACCUAGUAAACCUUAGGCCGGUUGGGUGAUCAGGAUUAGGAACGUGAGAAACGGGGUCUUUGUGACUAUUUUGGGCGAAAGUAUUGUGAUGGGUCAUACUUAUAACUCCAAAAGUGUUGGAGUUGGAUUGAAGUGGAUAACCUUUAUGUCCUUGUAAGAUCACGUUGGCUGCCGACAACGUGAUAUCGGGGAAUAGUGGGAGGUCACUUCAUUACUUUCACAUGAUUGGGGGUUUCGUGUCUAUGUGCGGGGCUAUGAUAGCAUAGGUUGUUUAACCUGUGCUUAUUUUGUUUGUUGCAGCUUGUGAUGUCCAAGAUACACUCUACAAUGGUCGAGGCGACCGAGCCGGAGAAGUUUGUACUUUCCCAACCUGGCGAGGUUCAGGAAUUGGAGGAGCAGUGGUUAUUUUAGUUGGAGUAGUGGAGCGACAGUCGAAUGUGGCGCUACUUCAAGCAGAGGCUUUGCACCGACAAGAUGAGGGAAUCAAGCGGUUGAAGAAUCUAUUGAUUCAGCGAAUGGCUGAUCUCAAGAAAUUUCAUGAGAUUUCAGAUCGCGCCAUGACUAUGAGAAAAGUUGUGGAACUUAUUAAGAUGGCAAAGGAGACCACCAAGAGUGAUCGGUUACAGAUUGGUGAAUCAUCAAGGAAAGUAAAGAAGAAUCAACCUUUGGGACGUGGCUCUUUUGCCGGACGAAGAACGUCGAGUCGUCGACCGUUACGGCUAAAAUGUGUGAUUUGUGAAGGCCGCACGUUCCCCAAAGUGUCCUCAGUGGAGAGAAAAGUGUUUUGGUGUAUGGGCAGGAGGGCCAUACUCGAUCAGAGUGCCCAGGAAAUAGUAUGUUAAAGAAAGUAUAUGCACUGACUUUGUCAUGAGAGGCACCCAGUGGACAUUUGUCUAUAGAUUGGCUGGAGCAAGAUGUGGUGACGGGAACGAUUACUAUAGGUAGCAGGUUAUGGAAAUUUGAUUAUAGUUGUGAUGAUUAUUCUAAUUGCAUCUUUGAUCGGAUGUUUGCCGAAUUGUAUUGCAUUAAUUCUUUAUCUCGAUGCAUAUAGGAUGAUUGCAUUAGCAGGAUGGUCUAUUUGACACUUUGCUUGAUAAAAGAGUUUUGGAGUGAGCCAACAAAUUGAUUGGCCUCACUAGUGAUAGAAUAGUUUUGACUUAAAAUCUAAUUUGGAGGCACCUUGUAUCGGGGAUUGUGCGAGCUGAAUCGAUUCGUCUUAAGAUUUGAGCAUGAAAUAAUGCAUUUUGAGGUUUAAUCUCGCUAAUUGCGAAGAUUGUUAUUUUACCUAAAUCAGGUAUGUAUUGAAGAGUUGGAGCCUAAUUGGCUGAUAACUUAGGGUGAGUGAGAAUCCUCAAAAUGAAGGAUAUCUUUUAAGAAGUUGUUGUGGUACUCCCGAUCGAGUCACAAAUUGUGCGCUCGAUUAGUAGGAAGGUUUUUAGAUGUUUAUUGUUUUGCUUCGUGGUGAAGCAAUCUCACUGGUUGUGAGGCUGAAUAGGUUGUUCGACUAUGUGUCAACUAUCGUGAUGUCAAUUGAAACACGAUUCAGUAUUUGGAUGGUAUUGAGAUUUAUUGAUCUUUUUGAUCAACCUUGAGGACUAGACGCACUCAAUUGGUGGAGUUACCAUUUAAUGAUUACUAAUUGAUAUUAGAGUUUGAGUUUAUGCCUUGAACGGGAUGUGAGAUUGGGCUGAGGACAUCAUGAGACUAUUGUGAUGCCAUCUAAGUUGGUACUCCACCCGUGUUAGAGACUUGCUGAUUGAUGAUUCCAAGACGGCUAGAUGGAUUUGGGACAUUGAUAGGGAUGACAACUGUGAGAAAUAUUAUAACAUUCUUUGACAUAGAAUGUUAAGAGUUUACUUAGCAGAUUCGGCAAAGUAUGUAAGGGAUGAUCGAGCAAGCAGCUGAUGGGAUGGAGCUAAAACUCUCCUACUUUGAUUGAGUAUUUGGAAUAUUUGAGAAAGAAACUACCAAGAUACCUAUUUCUUUCUCCUUCUCUUCUGGUUCAUGUAAUAUGGCAUUAAGUUCUUUGGAACGAGUCGCAUAAGAUAAGUUUUGAGUUUGAUAUAUGAUUGGAAACCAUAUGGAGAUGAACUCUAUAUGUAUUGAAGGUGAAUAUUGAUACCUUAGUUGCAAUUUAGAGUAGGAAGCUUUGCUUGAACCCUUCCUGGAUUAUAGAAGUAUAUGUACGUAAUAACAAUAGAGAGUUACUAAUAAGUAUAAGUGGAUUCCCUCUCUAUUGUUGAAUGGGACAAAGUGGCGACAGCUACUAGGAACAUAACAUUAUAAAGAAGGUAUUGAGGAUGAAUAUAUCCAAUUGGUUCUACUAGAAGCAUCAAUUGGUUAAUGCUAAGAAUUAUUUCACCAGAGGUGAACCAUCAGUUUAAGUGUGUGAGAGAGUCAGAAGAAAUAAAAUUGGAUAUAAAUGAGGAAAAUUUCUCGUUGAAAAGAUGAAUAUGAUUUAUCAUAUUAUUGAUACUAAAAGCAUAGAAGCUACAAAAUGGUAUUAGUGGGAAUUGAGAAGUUUUGAAUAAUUGACACUUAGCAACAUCUAUUGAUGUGAAUUUGGGCCUACUGCCUGGUGGUGGAAUGAGAUAUGAUGCUAAAGUAUUGUGAUACAAUACUAAAUGCUAGAUCAGGUAAAUACCCCAAUGAACUAAUGGGGUGGACGAUUAGUUCCAUUUAGUCUUGGAAGGAGUAUUGCCAGAGAUAAUUGGUUCGCUACCAAAUGAAAUUUGAAUAGUAGAAUGUCGGGUUUAAAAGAGAGAUGAAAUUUUUUUUUUCCAUAUCUAAUCUUGGAAUAGAAUUGCAUCAAUAGUGCAAUUUCUUGAAGAUUUUGGCUCUUGAGAGCAAGCUGACGAUUGAAAUUGCGUCGUUUUCCGUUAAGACAUGAUAAUUCUUCAGAACUCGAGAGGUGGACUAAGGGUAAUCAUUGGAUUUGAAUUUUUCUUGUUAAAGGAAUGAUCUAACCUCAUUCAUAUGAACAUGACAAGAGAAGUUGAGUGUUGGCCUCAAAUCAUUACGAAAAACAAGAAUGGAACUUCAUCCAUCGUGGGUAAAAGAAGAACGUUUUAGGAGCGGAUAAAGUGUAAUGUACUGAAUUUUCAGAAUUGUGGAUGUUCCCAUAAGAAAAUGCUUCAUACGAUUUGAUUGGUUCAAACUCUUUGGGAAUGAAUUGAAGUGUUAUUAAAUACAUCCCAUAUUCAUUUCGAAUGAUUUCGAGGUGUAAAUUGGAUUCUAGUUUCGCGGACGAAACUUCUUUUUAGGAGGGAUGAAUGUAAUACACUGAACUUUGGCGAAUUGCGAAGUUCGAGCGAUGGAACAGUAAUUGAAACUAUUCUACAACUUGUGAAGGAUUGUUGAGAGAUUUCCGCAAGUUACUGGAGCAAGCAAGUAGCUGGAAAUGGAAAAGUGCAUUGUAAAUGCACUAUUCAAAUGUAGUAUUCCAAAUUAGCCCGAUUAUGAAGUUUGAGGAGUGGAAUGGGUAAUGGGAGCUAACCUGCAUUUUUUAAAGAGUUGUAGUGAGGUUUUUGGUAAGUUAAAAGAGUAAUCAAGAAGUCGGAAUAGAGAAAGUGCAUUGAAAUUUCGAAAUGCAGGAUUCUGCAUAGAGUACUGGUACUGUAACGUAUCGAAACCUUGAUAGCGAUUAUCGAACUUUAGCCAAAUUGGUUAAAGUACCAAGAGAAAUGAAUAGACAAACUCCAGUUGACAUUCCAACAAUGUUGGAAGGGUCAAAGUCGAGUCCCGGGAGUGUUAAGCAAGUUUUAGCAUUGCUCGGCACGAUUUAAAAAUGAACAAUACGAAAGAAAUAGUUGGGCAAGUUGCAUUUAGCAUCCCAACAAUGUUGGAAGGGCUAAAAAUGGGUUUAAGAGGUGUUAGAAAGGUUUUAGCAUCGAUUGGCACAAAAUAGAAUCGAAAACGGCGCAAAACCAGCAUUCUGGGCAAAGUGUACCGGUACAACCAUCGAGUUGUCACCGGUACAGCCCUGUAGACCGAGAAGAGUUUGCUCUCGGGUUUGAUUUUUCACGGAAAUGUACCGGUACACCCCUGGUGUGUACCGGUAUACUUUUGUAAAAAUCGAGAACCUUGCUCUCGGGUCGCCUCUGCGCAGAAAGUGUACGGGUAUAAAAUCCCGUGUACCGGUACACUUUGGUCUGGCAGCAAGGAAUUGAUCUGUUGCAAAUGCAAAUGUUUGGGGGGGCCUAGUUGUAAUUGUUGCACACUAUAAUAAACCCAACACUCCUCUCCUUCACAGCAAACACCCCUCCACUCUCUCCCUCUUAUUUCUCUCUUUCUCUCUUUAGAGAUCUUACCCUAGAGCUUGGAGGAAAAGGAAAAGAAGGCUUGGAGGAGAUUUUUGGAGGCUUUGGUAGUGUAGAAGCUCUCCAUCAAGGUGGACUUAGGGAUAGCUUUUGGCUAAGGUGAGUUUUAGUGCAAAAGCUCUCCAUCAAGGUGGACUUGGGGAUAGCUUUUGGCUAAGGUGAGUUUUAGUGCAAAAGCUUAUCUAGGGUUUGGAUUUCCACUAUGGAACUUAAGGUUUUGGGGCUUCUCUUAUGUUUAGAAGCAUUGUGAGCCUUGAACACCAUGAAAACCAUGGCUUUCUCAAGGUGCUCCCAUGGUGAACAUCUAAGGUUUAAUGUAGAUGCCCUAGGAAUGGUCCAAAUGGCUUGAAAAUAGUAUUAGAGAGCUUCCUAGGUGAUUCUAAGCUAGUAUUUGCUUAGAGAUGAGAUCAAUCUAGGAGAAAUCCCAUUAUGGCAUUCUUAGGGCAUAGAUUUUGGGAUUUUUGCCUUCGGUUGUUUUCGAGAUAAAUUGACCUUUUGAAAAUCUAAUUAGGUGUGUUUCCGACGCGUGGGACAAUUCCGUUUGACGUUACGAAAAGGCCUAGAUAAAGUUAUUGAGAAAAAGCCUAAUUUGGCUUCGUUUUGCCGCAGGCGAAAAAGUAGGGUUUCAAAAAUUUCAAGAAAUUCACCGUAGCACCUUUGCAACCAUACAAGGUGAGUGGUGCAUACCGAAGACCUCGAAAUAUUUUUUAUGUCUAAAGUGUCAUAUUUGAGCAUUUGUAUGUAUUGAGCAUAUAGCAUAGUAGGGUUAUUGUGAGCUUCUUAUUGCAUAUUGUGAGUUCAAAUGCAUGUGAAAUACAAGUGAGAAUCUAUAAACCCUAUGUAUGCAUGAAAAAAUGACAAGAACUUAGUGGAUUAGAGAACAAGUGUGACAUGUUGAUAUAAAGGUAGUGAGUGACAUUGAAGAGCCAAGAACACUAGAGUUGAACACCUAGAAAACAAGUGUGACAUGAGUAAAUGAGUACCAAGAACAAAGUAGUGUGUAUGACACUAGUGUAAGUCAAAGAAUGCAAGUGAAAAGAGAAAGUAAUAUUGUGACAUUAUGACAUAGCAACCUUAGAGUUAAGGGUCAUAUGUACAUUGUUUCCUUAUAGUUAAGGAAUGGAUUGAACUUGACAUCCUUAUAGUUAAGGAUUGGAUUAUACUCACCUAUAAGUCCUUGCUCGAGGGUGGUAGCUCCCCCUCGGGCGAUGUGCUCCGGAGUUGUCAUCAUUGGGUCGUAGUAGUCUCCCUAGAGGACGGUCCCGUCGGGCAUAGUAGUCUCUCCGAUACUUGGGAUUUGAGUUGGUGAGUCUAUUGAGAGCGAAACCUACGGGCUGGCCAAGAGAUUGAGUAAUGAAACUAUGAUCUUGCAUUCAUCAUGGGUAUUUUAUCGAGCAUCGCAUUACUUAUUGUUCAGGCAUAUUAGCUGCAUUUGUUUAGUUGGUUACUAUCUAUCUAUUCUUCUAUUGUGCCUGAUCAGACCUAGUGGGAAAGUCGGCGUGGUUGGUUGCCGAACCCACUGAAAACUUUGUUGUAGUUCUCACACCCCAUUUUUCACAGAGCUGGGACCGAGUGUAAGGACUGAGAUUUUUGCAGUGUAGCUAAACUCUCAGUUGACGAUGUUUUUGUGUGUAAUUUAAUUACAAAAGCACUCGUCAAGUUUCGGGCAAAAACGAGUUAAAACGGAAAUUCUACGAGAUUUCCAAGUUUCACUUAAAGUGAAUACUAACUCGAUUUUCCGGAGAAGUCACAAUGGGAAGUUGGCUUCUGGCUCGUAUCGGACUCCGUUCCUAGCAGUCCAAUAGCUCGUUUCGACCGGUUCAGCUGUUCUGGAACUAAUGGCGCUGACGGAUUUUGAGUUUGACCCACGGAUUUUGAGAAAAUCCAAAAAUACAUGUUUUAUAUGUAUUUAUGUGUUAUUCCUUCUAUUGGAAUGAAAGAUUGGAUUUUGUCGUGAAUCCGUGGUCGAUCGAGGUGAAACGAAUUCGUAGCUUUGUUGUCUCCGUCGUGCUGAUCGCAUUGGUGCAAUCCGUUCGCAAAUCUGACGGACGAAUCUGCGGAGAUUACGCGUUGAUCGAGGAGAGGUCGGUAAUGGCAAAACGGUAAUUUCGCAAAAGUCGCGACAUUUUAUGUACCGUUUCGCGUGAGAUCGCACGUGGAGGGGUAUGCGCGCGUUUUACUCAUGCUGUGGGGGACCCAGUUUGAAAUUGUGAGUUUAGGUGGACUUAUUUGCAAAUCUGCAAAUGGUAUAUAUUUGCACUCUAGGGUUUGCUCAUUGGAAACCCUAAACCUAGCCCGAGCUAACCCCCCCAGCCGCCUCCUUCUCUCUCCCCUGCCCCUGCCGCACGCCCCCGGCCGCCGCCGACUGAACCCCGGCCGGCCAGCCACCGCGGCAGCCACCUUUCUUCCUCCCUCUCCAUCUCUCUCUCCAUCUAUCCCUCUCUUUCUCUCGGGUUGGAGCCAGGCCGAGGCUGCAGUUGCCUCCCGGCCCUUCACCGGCGUCGCCCCGUGCUCCGGCGAGCCUCCCCGUCGACCGCCGCCGCCUCCUCGCGUCGUUGCUGCUAGCUGCAGCUGCCAGACCGAGCUCGGGCCGAGGCCAACGUGUGACAUCUCCAGCGCGCCGCCGCCGCCUGAGCCCGCUCCCUCCACCGUCCCCGUACCCUCGGCGACCCUCCUCGCCGGUCGCCGCCGCGCCAGCGAGCCGCCGUCGCCGCCUCGGCCAGCCUGUGGCAGCCCAGGUCUGCUCGGGCCGAGCAGACCUUGGGGCUUCUUCCUCGCGCCGCCACCGCUCGGAGCCAUCCGUGCCGCCUCCUGCCGACCUCGGGCGACCCUCCUCCGCCGUCCCAAAUCGGCCCCGGCCGUCGCCGUGGCCGCCAUUGCCCGUGGAACCCGUGCCCUAGCCGUGCAUGCUCGGUUUGUUCCACAGCUGCCGCCGCCGCUUCCAGUCGCCAACUGAGGUGAGCACCUCACUCUUCACCUCCCCCGCACCCGUUCCUGGCCGCCGCGCGCGCCGCCGUGCCGCCGAAGGCCGGCCGGAGCAAGCUUGCUCCGGCCAAGCCCGAAAUAGGGCUUAGUUAGGUGGUUUACUGUUUCGAGCUUCCUGGGGCUUCCCGAUCUCUACGGAAGGGAGCACGAUGAUCCUGGCAAGUUGCUGAUCAUCGUGCUCACCCUGGUUUCUGUCGGGAAGGCCCUGUUUCGCUGUUUCGGUGAUGUCGCUUCGUUUCAGCCUUUUUGGCUGUGGUUCUGUGUUUGUGCGUGUUUUGCCGGCGAUCCGAGGCUGUUCCGAUGCCUCCGGAGGUGAGCAUGGUGACUGCUGGUCAGUGCUGAUCACGGUGCUCACCUUAUUUUGGAUCAACAGUGUCCGGUUAGUCCUGUUCGGUGCGUUUUUCCGUGGCUGCGCGCUGUUCGCCGAACCUUCGGGUUGCUCCCGCGCUUCCCACAGCUAGCCGUUGUGCUCCGGAUCGUGAGCAUGGCCUCCGGUACGUUGAGACCUAUCAGUACGUGUCUCUGUGGACCUUGGGAGUCCUCGGUUUACGUGAACGAGCCACUUGAUCGCUCAAUUUACAUGAAAUAAUAGGAUUUUAUGUAAAUUGAGGGUCUUUUAUGCAUUUGUGCUCAUUGUGGCUACUAUGGGCAGUGCACGUGAGUGUGUUUGACCUUUGGACUGAUUGUCCAUGAUCCGUUAGCUUUUGCAGAAAUCGAAGAGUCAAUUUCGAUGCGUUUUGCGGCGAAAUUCGCCGAAAGAACGCGGUUUCGGUUCGGAUUUCUUCCGACGUCGUUUGGUUGCUCUGUGAGUAGUCGCUAAGCCUUGUUGGCUGGUCACCAUCAUCACAUUGUGGGUUCAGUGAUGAUGGAUGAGUGAUGGUGGGUUCCGGUGUCGAAAUAGACACUUUCGGGAACCCGGAUUCGUACAAUUAUUCGGCGAUAAUUGUGUAGUGAUGUUAUCUUGUGUUUGCUGCCAAAACAUCCAAAUCGGAGUGUUCUGGAGCAGCAGGUGACUCGUGACACGAGUCGGUGAGUUUCGGGACACUUAGUGGGUCCCGACGGCGUCCCGGUGUGGUUUUCGGGACUUCCGGUGAGUUACGAUGAUCGGUUUUGGGAAACCGAUACGGGGAUCUAUGUGGGGGUUUGUGAGAUAGUGUACUUCAGGUGAGUGGGUUGGUUACUGACCCGUUGGAUCUUCGUAGGUCCGGUCGACUUGUGCGUACCCAGUGUCCCGACGCGACAGUGACAGGUGGGUGCUUCGAGCUGGUAGUCGGUGAGAUCGUUUCACCCUUCCUCUGUUCUUUCAUAUCAGUAUCGUAGUCUCUACAUGUCAGUUGAUUGUUUAUCGCUUGUUUAUCGUAUUCCGUUGAUUGUAUUUGUAUAGUUGUGGAUAGACAUGUGCAGCAGGCUUGCACUCGUAUAUUGCAUUUCUGUGGACCUUGGGUCCAGGCAACACAUCGACUCUCUUGUCAUGUGUUUUGAUCUGGUUGAUCGUGGAUCGGCGUUGUACGCCCUUGCACCUGGCUUCGGCCAUGGCACCGGUCUCUUUUUGCCGGUUUUCGUUUGAGCAUAUCAGCAUGAUUUAGUCACAGCACUGUGUAUUCUAGACACCAGGUUGGUUUGGCCACCAACAAGAGGUGUACGUAUCCGGAUAGGUCGUCGGUGACGCAUGAAUAAGCUCGCAAUGUCUGCUCUGUGACAGGCAACGCUUGAGGUCUGCGGACCAAUAUAGCAGUAUCAGAUUGGGUUUGGUUUUGGACUAUUCACCUUUGAGGCAUCUGNNNNNNNNNNNNNNNNNNNNNNNNNNNNNNNNNNNNNNNNNNNNNNNNNNNNNNNNNNNNNNNNNNNNNNNNNNNNNNNNNNNNNNNNUGGGCGUGGGGGGAGGGGUAGGGGGAGCUCGGGCAGGACGGGGCCUGAGCCUGGGUAGAAGGACAGGGGCCUGAGCGUGGGGGAGGGGUGGGAGGGGCGCACUUGAGUAGGAGGGGCAUCGGAGCACACGGAGUUUGGAGGGGGGAGGGCACCUUAGCCAGUAAAGGAAGAGCACACACGACACGGGAGCGGGAGGAGCACAGCAGCUGGUAGAGGAAAAGCAGUUGCUGGGGAGGAGGAGUAGCUACCGAAGAGGGAUGGAAUUUCUUGCGAGGAGAGGGUGGGGGAGGAAGGAGAUCUAUUUUUUGCGGGAAAAUAGGGCUUUUUGGGGAGAGUUAGGGGGAAAAUGGAAAAAUUAGAAUAUUUCUUUUUCUUUCCUGGAUAUAGAGGCGGUUUCGUAAAAACGCCUCUAAUAUGCUUAUAACAUGUACCUUAGAGGCAGUCACAACAACUGCCUCUUGACAAUCGCCUCUACGAGCGCUUUUACUUGUAGUGGUAAUUAAUAGGGUUCAUGAUGAUUACGCCAUUAGUUGACAAUGCCACUAUAGGCAACAACUGGAUAUGGCCAACAACAUUUAUUGUGAGAUAACAGCACAGGAGAUGGAAAAAUAAGAAGGAAGAUAUAAAGAGCAAUAGAAGGAAGAAGAGUCCUUUAAUCACUAAAAUCAUGGUAGUGAAUCCACCCAUAAUGGGAGAAAAAGCGAGCGCCCCCGUGAUAAGAGAGUUAGGUGGAUUAGAGUGAGAGUAGAGAAGAAAGAGAGAGCAUGCGCGCUCGAGAGAGAAAGAGAUGGAGAAAGAGCAAAAUCGUUGCAAGAGAAAGAGAGAGAGAUAGAGAGAGAGAGAGCAGAGCGAGAGAGGAAGAAAGAGACAUGUUAGAAGAAGAGAAGAAUCGAAGAGCAAAAGGCUUGCUAUGUGGACGCAACAGAAAACUCCCUAGAUUAAAACACAAACACGCUAAACGUGCAUUAAGCGGGAGCGCGGGGUCGCCCGCACAAAAAAAUGACGGGCACGCCGUUCUCUCUUCGUCUCCCCACAAACACAAGACAUACAAUAUAUAUAUAAUAUACAAACAAUCACAAAUAACAAAAAAAAAACAAAAAAAAAAACCAAAAAAAAAAGACGUUCUCUCCCCUCCUCUCUCUCUUUCUCUCCCCACCGCCCUCUUUGUCCCCCACGUGCACCCGGGGAGGAGGGGGGACCCGCGUCCGGCGCCCGCGUCCGCGCCCACCCGUGUUGGGGGGGCGGGGACCGCGGCCGACACCCGCGCCAGAGAGAGAGAGGGAGUGGGGAGAGGGGGAGAGGGGGAGAAAGAGAGAGAGAGAGAGAGGCGAGAGGGGGGGGUGCGCGUGACCCGCCCCCGGCGCGCACGCGCGCGAGAGAGAGAGAGGGAGCCGGGGAAGGGGUGGGGAAAGAGAGAGAGAGAGAGCCGGGGAAAAAAAAAAAGGGUCCCACUGAAGCCUCCCACCAAACGUGGGGAGGCUUCGGGAGGAACCCACGAUUUAAUGUAUGUACAGAUUAUGUAGACGACUUCCAUACAUUGAAUUUUCCUAACAAUAACCGCUUUACAAAAUUGUAAGUCCUCAUAAACAUCCUUGCCUUAUAAAACAAUCUUAAAACAAGCAACAUACCUACAGUAGGAUGAGAAAUUAAGGAGCUCCAUACAUGUUCAAAGUCACAACAUGAUGGUAUCUAUCAAGGCUUGAAAAUGGAGUAAGACACCAAUUCUUAUAACUUUCUUUUUAAUGCUUCAAGCCAGUGUGUGAUGAAAUUUAGUAAACAUUUUAAUACUAUUUUUUUGCCCUUUUUUGUCAUUCCUGUAGGGGUGAACCUAAUCCUAAAUAUUUCAUUCCAAUAUAUCAGUCUCUGAUCUGACCUAAUAUUGUACAAAAAUAUUCCUGAAUAGCAUUGUUUCUCUACAAACAAAUAUGCAAAAAAAUCAUGUGCACGAAAUAAUAUUAUAAUCCAAUGACUUUGAUGUAUUCUGCCAAGGAUUAGUGGUAAGAUCACUUAGUGCACAGAAUUUUUCUAUGUAUAGGAUUACACCCAGUGUGCAUUUAUUCUUCGUGUAAGAUCAGUUAAUACACAGAUGUAUGGAAUUACACCCAAUGCGCAUCCAUUCUUUGGUUAUUUGCUGUAAAAGUCAGUGCCAUUGCUGUAAAAAUCAGUGCCAAUUCACGCAACAAAAUUAACAAUGAGAGUGGAAAAUGUGCUCAAAAAUGAUAUUUUGAGAAAUUAUGUACCAAAGAUUAGUCAUUAAUGAAACCCUGAGUAGCAAACUGCCAUUUAUUAAAAAGUUCAGAAGCUCUCUUUACAUUUAAUCAUAUCCUAUUCCUUUACCUGAAUGAGAAAUCAGAUGGAAAAAUGUAGAUCAAAGGAGUAACGAAUUUUGACGAAAUUUUCAAAUCAACAAGUGGCUUUAUUGAAGGGUAUCAAGCUUCUUCCUAGAAAAUUCCCGAAAUCAACUAUCCUAAAUACAAGCAACAGAAACCACACACCGGAGUGAAUACAAAUAGUUUUUACAUCCAAAUAAGAUAAAACAAAGAGCUAGAGAAAUGCCACAAAUGGAACCAAAUGAUCGUCAUCGUCGUACUCAUCCUUCCACGGGUGCCUCUUGUGCCUGGAAGAAGUGAUCUUGACUGUAAAAAUAAGAACCAAGUCAAAUAGUGUGUAGUAGUUUCAAUAUAUAGAAAUGUAGUAUUAAAUAGAGAAUCCGACCUACUAUAAUAAGGGAAACAAUAAAUCUUGUUAUUCUGUACUUACAUCAAGUAUAGCGGACUAAACGGGGUUUAGAUAACGAUUAAAAUCUUACGGAUAGGUUAAGUACUUUGCUCUAGUUGUCAUAGGCUAACAUAUGAACAAAAUUAACCUGAAUUACAUGCUAGUUGCUUAGUUUCCCGUUCAUAAUUACGUACACCAUACUAGAUCGAUCUUCUAUUUAAUGACAGGCAUGUCUUUAUCAAUCAACCAUUGGCUGACCAUUUAUCAUUUAUCAAGCUUGAUUACCAUCUAAGAACUCGUAUUGUUGUCUAUCCUUUUUCUCCUUUUUCACUUAUUCGUUUUGUACAGGCGUGAAUGCAUGCGUAACACGAGUGCAUUUGUAGCGUGCAUCCGUGCAUCCAUGCCUGUUGGUGAUGGGAAAGAUUGGAUCUUCUCUUAUUAUAUAGUCUUUCUCAUGAAAGAAGCAAUUGUUGAUACAUGGUUGCAGGCUAGUAGCUUAUUGUGAGCUGUACACGUAAAAUUUUGAGUUGGGUCGACCUCAAAAUCUGAAUGGUUUUUCAGGCCUAGCCUAAGCCCAACCAAAACUACAUCUAUUACGAAACAAACAAUAUCCUAAAAUUAUAUACAGACACUUGUUUCUCUUAAAGGUUUCUACAUAAUAAAAGAUGAUUAAUUCGAAAAAUAUUCCUCAUGUGGAGGCUAUACAUUUAUGCCACAAGCUUUGCCUAUCUCCCCCCUCAUUCACUACUGACUGUAAUCGUCCCUAGCCCUCCUUCCUUGUGGUAAUCUCUCCCGUUCGAUGGAGAAUUGGGUUUCCAGUAAAUUAGAUAUUCAGACAAGCUGAUUCGAGUCGAUUUUAUGUAAUUAGGAUUUUUGGGUUUUAAUCCAGUUCCAAUGUGACUCGGUUUGAGUUAGGUCAGAGUUUGGAUAUUUCAAUUGAAAUUGGAAAAAUAUUAGAUCUGUUUAAAUUAAAUUUAAUUCUCUAUAAGAUAAACUCUAGUGAAGUUAGGAAUUGUGAUUUUUCUUCUAGAGCUAUAGAUUCUAGUGAAGUUAUUCUAUGACAAACCCUAGAAUUCUCACUGUAUUCAUGAUGGUCAUUUCGAUUAAUGAAGUUUGGUGUUUUAGAUUUUCCUUACAGCAUCUUCUACUCUUCUCUUUGAAGGAAAGGCAUAGCCUAAUAUUCUCUAUGGCGCAGAGGGUAUUCCUCUCCUCUUUCUCUUUACUAGUCUUUUUCAACUAUUUUUGAGUGUUUUGUGCUUCGAACUUCGCAUAAAAUUAAGAUGCCUAUAUUUUUAAUGGUUACAUUUGUUUAUGUGAACUUUGUCAUAUCUCCUCAAGCAUACCUAAUGCAAAACUUUAUCAAUCGCCGAGUUGAAAUAAAAAAUUCUAGAUAGAUGCUUUGUUUGGUAUCAAUUAUAUCCUUACACUUUCAAAGGCAAAUUUCAUAUAUAUGCAGAUGACUUUCAUAUUCUUGUUUUAGGCACUUAGCUUGCAAAUUCCACUUUUAAAAAUACCAAAGAAGUAAAUUUAAUUUUUGUUAUCUUGUUACAAAAUACUUUCAUAGAUGCAUAGAUUGCAAGUAAUCUGCCACCAUCCACAAACAUUCAGAGAUAGAUGGACAAUUAAGUGAAUUAAAUUCGUAUAAAAUUCUUUAAUUAAUUUGCACCCACGUUUAACCUAGCUAGUGGAUCCGAGUGCAGAUACUGAUCCUAUUUCAAGCCAAAUACAUGAGUAUAAAAUAUCAAGCAAAUUAAAAAAAAGAAAAAAGCUACCACAAGGGAGCAGUUUUACCGUACCGUAUUUUUCGCGUAAGUUGACAUAUGCCUGUUCCAGCCAUUGCAAAAUUCACACUAGAGAGGUUCCAAUUUUUCUGCAACACCAUAAAUAAUCCCCCAAACAAAUCAAUCAGAAGCAAUGCAAAAUACAGAAUCCUCUACUUACCAUAUAUACAAGAUACAUGAAAGGAUUUAGAACUUAGCUGCUUUAGCCAAGAAAUUAAGGUUCCGUGCGGUAACUUGAGAAAAUAUUUCAAUGUUCAAUUAGUUUUUACAUGGAAACUUCAGAAAAUAUUUCAAUUUUCAAUUAGUUUCUAAGAUGAAAAUUAAUCAAUCAAAUGAUGAAAAGUUGACAAUCACUGGAUAACAUGAUCGACAAGACCAAACUGAGACUUCCGAUGCCAGUGAACAAAACUGUCAUAAUACCUUCAUGCAUUUAAUAAAUAUAAAGACACAAAUUUUGGCGGAAAAUAUAAAGACACAAAUUUGAUGAAAUGGAUGACCAAUUUGGGAGAAAUUUAAUUUCCCUAAUUUGUAAACUUUGUUUGUUGAAUAUAAAACGGUGUUUAUAUCAUGUCUGGGCUCGAGACUUUUCGUAGGCCCGUGAUGUGGACUUUAAUUAAAUGGGAGGAAAUUAAUUUUUGCUAAGAGCCUGGCAUGAUAUCAAAUUCAGGAUCUUCUGCUCUGAUACCAUAUGAAACAAAUAUUAUACUCUAAAAACUUAAGCUAUUAGAAAACGGUGUUUAUAUAUUUUUAUAUUUAACAUUGUUUGCCACAAAUCCAAAUAAUUUCAUGAACAAUUGAACAUUUAGUGACAUUAGCCAAAAAAAAAGGAUAAGUCUUUAAGUUUAUCCAUUGCAAGCAUCAUGCAUAUAUGCAUUUGUGUAAAUUUUAACACAGUUUAAGACAUUUUCGGGGUUCGCUUCAUCCACUAAAUUUUAAUUCUUAAAUUAUUAAUCUUUUGUACUGCUAUUAGAAAAUUCUUCGAAAUUGAUAAGUAACUCCAUCGAUUGAGUGCAAAAGAUUUAAUAAAAACAUAUUUAUAUACAACGAGAAUAUAUAUACUACCGCCACGGGUCCUGCUCCAAAGGGUGUUGACGCACGGGUAUUCUGCUUUUGCAUAUCUAACGAUCUAUAGUGACUUGAAAGAGACGACGGAUAAGAGUAAAAGAGUAAAAGAGUUUACCGGGGUAAUCACCAGACCAUAGCGUGACCAAAUAAGCCCAGAGAUAGUAACAACUGCGUGCCAGGGAAAAGAAAAAGAAGAAUUAAUGUCGAUUAUUAUCAUAAGCUAGUCCAAAAAAUAAAAAAAAAUCUCUCAAUAUAUUAUAUAAGUUUCAUUGGCAGCGCAUACCAAUUUGCUGAGGAUAAGAGAUCUUCUCAGGUGGUUUUGAGAAGUCAGCAAUAUUGGCAAUGCUGAUACCCCAUUUGAAAGUUGGGGCCCAGAAGUGUACUGCAAGCAAUUUAUAUAUUUUAGGUCAGGAAAAAAAUCUGUACAGUCCAUUGGUCCUGACAAUAGUAUGACAAAUCUGUAGCAGUAUUUAUCUGAGGCCUUUCUAGAUUGGCCAACAGUUUCACAGGGUCAUGUAUUAUCAAAAAGCCCUUAUAACAACUUUCUCUAAUUUAACUUGAAAAUUGCAAAAUCUUUUGCUGUUGAACUACUAUUUAAUAUCACUAUUUAUGGACCCUUUGAUACGGCAUAACAGAACAUGACCAUACGAGGAAGCAUUUCAGAGAAUAUAUAGGAGUGUUGCUUUAUAUUUUAAAACACAAAAUACUAUGCAGGAUAAACCAAUGGAAGUAAUCAGACUUUCAUCAUAAUUGUUGCCGGUUCCAGAUUCUUAUUAGUAGCAUAUCCAAUCCAGUAUCCCCAAGCUAAGCCACAAAACUACAACAUAUUGAUCCUUGAUACGUAGGAAACUAAUAUAGAAUGAUGAUGUAGAUACCAACUCUAAAAUAUUUUCUAUUGAUUAUCAUCAAGAAAUGAAAACAACUCAAAAAUUAAUCCUAGCCAAAAAGGUAUUACAUCAAACUUCCGACGUUUACAUGUUCUCAUAGUAGACUUUGAAAAGCAAAAUACUAGCUGCUGGCUCUUUACAUCAAAGAGAUAUUCAUCAAUGGAACCUUUAUUAAGAGUUAUUUAAUUCAUUAAAUAUAUUUUGAUGAUAAUUCAUUAAAUAUAUUUCGGUGAAAAUGUUACACCAGCUAUGGUGGAAGUUGACAUAUAAGGAAGAAACUUGUGAUGCAGUGGGAAAAGUGAUACUGUGAAAUCUUAAGCAUAAAAUUUUUUAUACGUGAUAAAAGAGAGAGAGAACGAACUAGUUUUUGGCCCAGCAGGGUGGUUCCAUAGAGCUUGAAGCUUUGAUGCUGCCAUUUGAUGCUAUUUUUCCUUUUUACCUCUCCACUCUGAUUCUUCUUUCUUCUGAGAAUAGUAUAUUCACUGAAUAAAUGUUCAAUAAAGGAUACCAUUACAGGUACAUACGAAGGAAAAUGCCAACCAAUGGCUCAAAAUAGCAGUAAAAGAACCAAAAUAAUGAGCUAGAAAAAGUGAGGAGCAUUUAAUUUUUUUCCAAACUACCAGGCUUUUCAAAGAAUGCCAAAAUGUGAGACUAAGUUUAUAACUAAUCUAGAAUGAUCUAUAUUUUCUAGUUGAAAUGGUGAGAUUGUCACACAGUGUAAUUUGGGUUGCGGAUGCAUUAGGAGCUUAUAGCAUUCAGUUAAUUAUGAGGAAUAUUACUACUGGGAGCCGAAUAUCCUAGAUCGUAUUCUCGAUCAAACUAUGCUUCGGGAAGCGAGCCAUGUAAUGAGAUGGCUCCUACUGGUGACCCUUGCAAUGCGCCGCUAAUAGAAUCAAGCGAUCAGCUGAUGAGGGAUCCACUCAACCGAGUUCGUACACCCUAUUGUAUUACUUGGUUCGGCUGAAAUUAGCCGAGCGACUUUGAUAUACUUUAACAACGGAAAGAUGUACAUGCGAUAAGUUUCGCUCAGGGAUUGUUAAAAUAUACUACCUAAAUACGAAAAUCUAUCUUAGCGAACUACUCCUAUAAAAGCAGAAAAUGCAAGGAAAGUAAAAAUUACAAAUAGACUACUCCUUUCUAAUGCUGGAAAUAGAAUGGUCUUCUUGUUUGCAAGGGAAAAAGACCCUUUAUCCAGGCGUAUUUUGUUUAUUUAUAGUCUCACUUAGUGUUAUUCAGUUAUUUUCCAUUAUGGGAUGUGUCUCGGCUAUGUUAUGCGGACCACUUCUGGCCGUUCUCAACCGCAUUUUUCCCAACCCACUUUUGGUUUUGAGUAUGUGCUCCCAAGUUCUUGGCGUACCAUGUGUUAUUUUGUAUUUGGCCCAGAAAGUCUUUCACGUGGUGCAAGCCGGUUUAUCACGUGGCGUCAUUUUUACGGCACCAACAAUGCCCCCCGGCAACCUUUCAAAAGAUCAUUUCGGAUGGCUGACAUCGUUCCGCUCAACAGCCUAGAUCAAAUGUCGCUUCGUUCUACGGCCGUGAUCAGUCCCCUCAUGUGGCAGCAUCGCCUAUUUCUUCUUGCGGUCUUUAUCUAGCCGUGUCUUUAGUCAUCUCGUACUUGAUUUUGUCCUUUGAUGGCUAUGAUUUCCUAUGCCCCUUUCGUCUUAUCGAGGGCAUUUAAUUAGGGCAUUAAUACUUGCCGUCAUAUCGCCAUUAUAGUCAUUUUUCGAAAUUUCCUCCGACGGCCUCAUCUUCUUCUCGCUCUCUAAACCCUUCUUUUCGGUUCUUACUCUUGCAUCUUUGUGAGAAGGGGUUUCUUUGAUCUUUCAAUUUCAAGCUUUCUUUGAUUCCGAUCCUUCUCAAUAGCUCGAAUUCCUCAUCUUCCUUCGCUUUCGGACCUUGACUACACCCUUUUGAGACGGUUCAUCGAAUCAGAUUCCUCUCGCUUUAUGCUCGGCCCUUCAUUUGUAGCACCUCCUCCAGCCGAUGCCUUUCCUUUCUCAGCAGAAGGGCUUCCUUUAAUGGUCGAUGUCAUCUAUCUUCACUCUUGGUCUCUCCUAAAGUCAUCAUUCGGGAAGAGUCUUUACACCCGGCCUAGCAUUUUUGACACAUAUUUGGCCUGGCUGAAGUGAGUUGAAGAUUCUUACGCCGAUCUCUGGCGUGAAGUUGGAAUCUACGAGGCUAACUCUCAAAGACCCCUCCUUAAGCCAAAGCCUCCUUUUUACUGCGAAUUUCGAGGCUCAUCUUGACCCGAAGGUGGACCUUGAGUAUACCAAGUUCAUGUGGCGAUUUGCAAGUCAAGCCCCCACUCUGGUCACUAAGAAGGAACACACUGCCUUCCUCCUCUCUUGGCUAUGUCACAACCUCUUCUGCACCCAUUCGUAGAAUAUUAAUCAAAAUUUUGUUCCUAUUGUUGAUGCGCUAGCUAAUGGUGAAAAACUAGUCCUCGGCUCAUAUUUCCUUUCGUUCCUCUACAAAGAGAUUUUUGAGUCAAUCAAGCCUCUGUCAUCAAAGAAUAGCUUGGUGAUUAGCUCCAGUAGCGGCGUUCUUUGGUUUCUACAGCUUUGUCUUCAAAUUUAUUUUCCAGCCUCGUGCCGAGCAUAUCUUGAUCAAGAUUCAGUUCCCCAAUUUGACACCUAUGAAUUAGCUCUCGGCUGCCCAAAGUCCCUGACAUCAAGCCAACCGGUUGAUUUUCUUACUUAUUUCUGUUAAGGACUUUUUUUAAGUUGGUGGAUUUCGUGAAGUCGAAUGGAGUCUUGAAGAGUUGAAGACAAAGAUUGUGGAAUUCCAGAUCAAAAAACUCGUUCGUGAUGCUCGGUAACUCAGGUAUGUGUGUUAAUAAUUUGUGGUGAAAAUCUACACAUGUAAUGGUGUUUGGAAGACUUAGGAUUGUUUUUAAAAUAUAAAAACUAAAGAAUCUGAGAAUUUCAAGGUUCGGGAUCCGGACCCUAGGUGCAGGGUCCGAACCUUGUAAGUCUCCUCUGUGUGUAUGCAGCGAGGGUCCGGACCCUAGAGCUAGGAUCUGAACCCCGUACCAUGGUAUUUUUGACACGCAACGAGGGUUUGGGCCCUCGGGUUAGGGUCCGGACCCCGUAGCUUGUAUUUUCUAUCACUUAGAGAGGGUUCGAACCCUGGCUUCAUGGCUCGGACCGUCAAGGUCCGGACCCUGAGACCGUAUUUUGUUUUUAAAAUCGUGUUUUUAAAAUUCUAAUCUAUCUAUAAGUCUUCUAAACCUAUAAAUAAGCUAUGAGGAGCAUCCGAUGAUGUAUGCUUAGAAAGAAAAUCUUUUGAAACCCUAAAAACUUGGUUUGGAGUUUUUCAAUCAAUGUCUUAAAAACAAGUUUUGUUUUUCCAAUCGCCGACUCGAUUCUUGGUUUCUAUUUCAAUGUUUCAUUAAGAAUCGAGUUGGAGAUGGAUUGAAAGGUUUCUCCUCGUAUCUUACGAUCUUUGUAAGAAAUUAAAUCACCACCAAUUAUUAUCUUCUGCGAGCUCCGGAUGGAGUGUUGGCGUGAGGACUUCGCGUGAGGCCGUGGAUUCGGUGGACGCAUCGUGGAUUCGAGGCGUUGUUGCUGCGAGGAUUUGCGGCGGGGUCGAUUGGAGGAGUUCGAUUGAUCGAUGACCGGUGAAGACGAUCUACGAUGAGGAUUCGGUAAUAGUUGGGUCGUGUAUUUGGUAAAUCACUUGUACUCAAUUUUUUCAUAGUGGAUUGUUUCGUGUGAUCGCUCCUGUGGGUUUUUUACUCUUAGUUGGAGUUUUUCCACUUUAAAUCUCGGUGUGUUGGAUUUAUUUUUCCGUAUUUAGUUUAAAUUUGCAUCGAGAAUUUUUGUUUUAUCGUUUACACCUAUUCACCCCCCUUUAGGUGUUAUUUACCUUUUAGGUCUUUGGGAUCCAUAUCUCACAAUUUUCAAGUUUUUUAUGCCAAGGAGCAAAUGCGGUCUAUCAGAUGGUCGACUUUCUGGGAACGGUUGACCAGUUCAAUUUGGUUCAUCGCUUAGUUUGAGUCCGUUCAGCUCCAACGAGCCUCCUUCAAUGCCAACAAGCAUUCUGAGGUCUAGUACUCCUUAGCUCUGCGGGAUUUUCAUGUCGGUUUGAAGAUCCGUUCCAAGUUGACACCAAGCACUGAAGUUUAUUGUCCUCACUAUGUGGUGCAUCAAUUCGGAUUUGUCCAAGCUAUUCCUGCUCCAUCCAUGUUCUUCACGGUCAACACUACUUGUAGCCAUUGUCUGCCGUCUCCCUCUCUUCCUCUCGGUCUCAGAGGAAGCCCGUGACCCUCUCCCGGCUGUCUCGACCAUUGUUGUGGCCGGAUAAGGAAGCUAAGCCCGAGCAGCAACUGUGCAGGCUCGGCUUGUUCCCGUACCGCCACUGCCACCUCCUGCCGCUGGCUAGCACGAGCGCCAUCCCUCCCCCGUUGGCCGUACCCCCUGCCGCCGGCGCACCCGACACCGAGCUGCCACCGGCCGGGCUAGACCCUGUUGCUCCCAGCCUGCCCGAUUAGGGCUAUUUUUUUUAUUGUUUUCACUGUUUCGGUGACUCGAGGCUGAUCUAACGCUUCUGGGGGUGAGCACGGUGACCUCUGGAUAGCGCUGAUCACCGUGCUCACCUAACUUGCUGGUUGAGAGGCCGGGAUCAGCAAUUUCAUCCUUGUCGCUCCCGGUGAGCACUCCCCGCAGAACUUUGGUUUGCUCCCGCACUCUCCGCAGCAAUUUUUUGGCACUCUGGACAGUGAGCAUGUCACGCCCCGGGGUCCCUUUUUGAUUUAAAAGCAAUGUGGAAGCACCCAAUUUAUUUAUUUAUUUUUUUUAAACCUGACCCCCAGGGUAUGCCAGAUCCGCCAUAAAUACAGGAAGUCCAUUGCUCACAUGGACAGAGUCUCCUUUGUAUUUGCACGGCGUCACACAAAUACAAUAUACAACCAUAACCGUAUGAGCAUACACAUACAUUUACCAUUCACCAAUAGGUUCAUGUUUAGAGUUUAUUCAGAAAUCCAUAACUAUUAGUUUAAAAUGUUUCCUACCCGAAAACUCAUUUUGAAAUACUAAUUUAUGAAAACCACGAGAAAACCAUUUCAAAACCGUUUCUCACACGGAAAUCCUUUUUCUUUAAAACACGCUACCACGAGGGAUAGAAAGUCGUUUUCAUCUCAAAGAAAAUCAUAAGUUCUUUAAUUCAUUUACCAAAAUCACAUUUAUCCACGUAAAUAAAAACUAACUGAACCAAUAUACCUAAGUCAUAACAUCAGAAAUAAAGAAGGUAGCAACUAAACCAAACAAAUAGGGUCGGCAGCUCUAUCGACCACUACAAACGUGUCUCACGUCUCGUCUCAACCCUCACCGCCUGCAAUACCUAAAAAUAGUGGGGGAGAUGAGAACAACUAAAC